rnacentral:rRNA from 1 species
CGUAGGUGGCGAGCGUUGUCCGGAAUUAUUGGGCGUAAAGGGAGCGCAGGCGGGAAGGUAAGUCUAUCUUAAAAGUGCGGGGCUCAACCCCGUGAGGGGAUGGAAACUAUCUUUCUUGAGUGCAGGAGAGGAAAGCGGAAUUCCUAGUGUAGCGGUGAAAUGCGUAGAUAUUAGGAGGAACACCAGUGGCGAAGGCGGCUUUCUGGACUGUAACUGACGCUGAGGCUCGAAAGCGUGGGGAGCGAACAGGAUUAGAUACC